rnacentral:rRNA from 1 species
CAGUCGCCGCGGGAACACGGAGGGGGCUAGCGUUGUUCGGAAUUACUGGGCGUAAAGCGCACGUAGGCGGCUUUGUAAGUUAGAGGUGAAAGCCCGGAGCUCAACUCCGGAAUUGCCUUUAAGACUGCAGAGCUAGCAGGUGAGAGAGGUGAGUGGAAUUCCGAGUGUAGAGGUGAAAUUCGUAGAUAUUCGGAAGAACACCAGUGGCGAAGGCGGCUCACUGGCUCAUACUGGACGCUGAGGUGCGAAAGCGUGGGGAGCAAACAGGAUUAGAUACCCCCGUAGUCCCUGUCUCUUAUAU